rnacentral:rRNA from 1 species
AUUGAACGCUGGCGGCAUGCCUUACACAUGCAAGUCGAACGGCAGCACGGGAGCAAUCCUGGUGGCGAGUGGCGAACGGGUGAGUAAUACAUCGGAACGUGCCCUGUAGUGGGGGAUAACUAGUCGAAAGACUAGCUAAUACCGCAUACGACCUGAGGGUGAAAGUGGGGGACCGCAAGGCCUCAUGCUAUAGGAGCGGCCGAUGUCUGAUUAGCUAGUUGGUGGGGUAAAGGCCUACCAAGGCGACGAUCAGUAGCUGGUCUGAGAGGACGAUCAGCCACACUGGGACUGAGACACGGCCCAGACUCCUACGGGAGGCAGCAGUGGGGAAUUUUGGACAAUGGGGGCAACCCUGAUCCAGCAAUGCCGCGUGUGUGAAGAAGGCCUUCGGGUUGUAAAGCACUUUUGUCCGGAAAGAAAUCGCUUCGGUUAAUACCUGGAGUGGAUGACGGUACCGGAAGAAUAAGGACCGGCUAACUACGUGCCAGCAGCCGCCGUAAAAC